rnacentral:rRNA from 1 species
GAUGAACGCUGGCGGCGUGCCUAAUACAUGCAAGUCGAGCGAACAGACGAGGAGCUUGCUCCUCUGACGUUAGCGGCGGACGGGUGAGUAACACGUGGAUAACCUACCUAUAAGACUGGGAUAACUUCGGGAAACCGGAGCUAAUACCGGAUAAUAUAUUGAACCGCAUGGUUCAAUAGUGAAACACGGUUUUGCUGUCACUUUUAGAUGGAUCCGCGCCGCAUUAGCUAGUUGGUAAGGUAACGGCUUACCAAGGCAACGAUGCGUAGCCGACCUGAGAGGGUGAUCGGCCACACUGGAACUGAGACACGGUCCAGACUCCUACGGGAGGCAGCAGUAGGGAAUCUUCCGCAAUGGGCGAAAGCCUGACGGAGCAACGCCGCGUGAGUGAUGAAGGUCUUCGGAUCGUAAAACUCUGUUAUUAGGGAAGAACAAAUGUGUAAGUAACUAUGCACGUCUUGACGGUACCUAAUCAGAAAGCCACGGCUAACUACGUG